AUUGAACGCUGGCGGAAUGCUUUACACAUGCAAGUCGAACGGUAGAGGGGGCAACCCCUCGAGAGUGGCGAACGGGUGAGUAAUAUAUCGGAACGUGCCCAGUCGUGGGGGAUAACGUAGCGAAAGUUACGCUAAUACCGCAUACGAUCUAAGGAUGAACGGGGGGGAUCGCAAGACCUCGCGCGAUUGGAGCGGACGAUAUCAGAUUAGGUAGUUGGUGGGGUAAAGGCUCACCAAGCCAACGAUCUGUAGCUGGUCUGAGAGGACGACCAGCCACACUGGAACUGAGACACGGUCCAGACUCCUACGGGAGGCAGCAGUGGGGAAUUUUGGACAAUGGACGCAAGUCUGAUCCAGCCAUUCCGCGUGCAGGAUGAAGGCCCUCGGGUUGUAAACUGCUUUUGUACGGAACGAAAAGGUCUCUCUUAAUACGGGGGGCUCAUGACGGUACCGUAAGAAUAAGCACCGGCUAACUACGUGCCAGCCGCCGCAGUAA
rnacentral:rRNA from 1 species